ACCUUUUGUGGUGCAAUUGGUAGCGCCUUGGCACAGUAAUUAUGUGUCCUGGGUUCAAUUCCCGGCUGGGGUA